rnacentral:rRNA from 1 species
UACGUAGGGGGCAAGCGUUGUCCGGAAUCAUUGGGCGUAAAGCGCGCGUAGGCGGCCCGGUAAGUCCGUUGUGAAAGUCAAAGGCUCAACCUUUGAACGCCGAUGGAUACUGCCGGGCUAGAGUCCGGAAGAGGCGAGUGGAAUUCCUGGUGUAGCGGUGGAAUGCGCAGAUAUCAGGAGGAACACCGGUGGCGAAGGCGGGUCUCUGGGCCGAUACUGACGCUGAGGAGCGAAAGCAUGGGGAGCGAACAGG